GCCGGGGUGGCGUAGUGGUUAACGCAACUGUUUAAUAAUCAGGAGGCUCGGGUUCGAAUCCCGGCAAUGGCA